GUAGUACUCCAUCCAUCCGAAAAUACUUGUCGGCGAAAUGAAUGUAUCUAGACGUAUUUUAGUUCUAGAUAAAUCUAUGUUUAUCCAGUUAUGCGGCAAGUAUUUUCGAACGAAGGGAGUACAUA
rfam:Triticum aestivum genome assembly, contig: Triticum_aestivum_CS42_TGACv1_scaffold_095076_2AL